rnacentral:rRNA from 1 species
GUGAAGCUGGAUUCGCUAGUAAUCGCGCAUCAGCCAUGGCGCGGUGAAUACGUUCCCGGGCCUUGUACACACCGCCCGUCAAGCCAUGGGAGCCGGGGGUGCUUGAAGUGCGUCGCCGCGAGGCGCGCCCUAGAGCAAAACCGGUGACCGGGGCUAAGUCGUAACAAGGUAUC